rnacentral:rRNA from 1 species
AUUGAACGCUGGCGGCAUGCUUUACACAUGCAAGUCGAACGGUAACAGGUUAGGCUGACGAGUGGCGAACGGGUGAGUAAUGCAUCGGAACGUGCCCGGUCGUGGGGGAUAACGCAGCGAAAGUUGCGCUAAUACCGCAUACGAUCUGAGGAUGAAAGCGGGGGACCGUAAGGCCUCGCGCGAUCGGAGCGGCCGAUGUCAGAUUAGGUAGUUGGUGGGGUAAAGGCUCACCAAGCCAACGAUCUGUAGCUGGACUGAGAGGACGACCAGCCACACUGGGACUGAGACACGGCCCAGACUCCUACGGGAGGCAGCAGUGGGGAAUUUUGGACAAUGGGCGAAAGCCUGAUCCAGCAAUGCCGCGUGCAGGAAGAAGGCCUUCGGGUUGUAAACUGCUUUUGUACGGAGCGAAAAGGUCUCCUCUAAUACAGGGGGCUCAUGACGGUACCGUAAGAAUAAGCACCGGCUAACUACGUGCCAGCCGCCGCGGUAA